UACGUAGGGGGCAAGCGUUGUCCGGAUUUAUUGGGCGUAAAGAGCGUGUAGGCGGCUUGGUAGGUCAGCUGUGAAAACUCGAGGCUCAACCUCGAGACGUCGGUUGAAACCACCUGGCUAGAGUCCGGAAGAGGAGUGUGGAAUUCCCGGUGUAGCGGUGAAAUGCGCAGAUAUCGGGAAGAACACCCGUGGCGAAGGCGGCACUCUGGGACGGUACUGACGCUGAGACGCGAAAGCGUGGGGAGCGAACAGG
rnacentral:rRNA from 1 species